AUACGGGGGGAGCAAGCGUUGUCCGGAAUCAUUGGGCGUAAAGGGCACGUAGGCGGUUUCUUAAGUCGAAUGUGAAAUCUCACGGCUCAACCGUGAAACUGCGUUCGAAACUAAGUGACUUGAGUUUGCGAGAGGUGUACGGAAUUCCUGGUGUAGCGGUGGAAUGCGUAGAUAUCAGGAAGAACACCAAUGGCGAAGGCAGUACACUGGCCUGAAACUGACGCUGAGGUGCGAAAGCGUGGGGAGCAAACAGAAUUAGAUACCCUAGUAGUCC
rnacentral:rRNA from 1 species